UACGUAGGGUGCAAGCGUUAAUCGGAAUUACUGGGCGUAAAGCGUGCGCAGGCGGUCUGCUGAGAGAGGUGUGAAAUCCCCGGGCUUAACCUGGGAACUGCGCUUCUAACUGGCAGGCUAGAGUGUGGCAGAGGGGGGUGGAAUUCCACGUGUAGCAGUGAAAUGCGUAGAGAUGUGGAGGAACACCGAUGGCGAAGGCAGCCCCCUGGGCUAACACUGACGCUCAUGCACGAAAGCGUGGGGAGCAAACAGG
rnacentral:rRNA from 1 species